rnacentral:rRNA from 2 species
UUAAGCGACUAAGCGUACACGGUGGAUGCCUAGGCAGUCAGAGGCGAUGAAGGGCGUGCUAAUCUGCGAUAAGCGUCGGUAAGCUGAUAUGAAGCGUUAUACCCGACGAUACCCGAAUGGGGAAACCCAGUGUGUUUCGACACACUAUCAUUACGUGAAUACAUAGCGUAAUGAGGCGAACCGGGGGAACUGAAACAUCUCAGUACCCCGAGGAAAAGAAAUCAACCGAGAUUCCCCUAGUAGCGGCGAGCGAACGGGGAGGAGCCCAGAACCUGAAUCAGUUUGUGUGUUAGUGGAAGCGUCUGGAAAGUCGCACAGUAAAGGGUGAUAGUCCCGUACACAAAAAUGCACAAAUUGUGAGUUCGAUGAGUAGGGCGGGACACGUGACAUCCUGUCUGAAUAUGGGGGGACCAUCCUCCAAGGCUAAAUACUCCUGACUGACCGAUAGUGAACCAGUACCGUGAGGGAAAGGCGAAAAGAACCCCGGCGAGGGGAGUGAAAUAGAACCUGAAACCGUGUACGUACAAGCAGUGGGAGCCUUGAUUAAUCAGGGUGACUGCGUACCUUUUGUAUAAUGGGUCAGCGACUUAUAUUCUGUAGCAAGGUUAACCGUAUAGGGGAGCCGUAGGGAAACCGAGUCUUAACUGGGCGUUAAGUUGCAGGGUAUAGACCCGAAACCCGGUGAUCUAGCCAUGGGCAGGUUGAAGGUUGGGUAACACUAACUGGAGGACCGAACCGACUAAUGUUGAAAAAUUAGCGGAUGACUUGUGGCUGGGGGUGAAAGGCCAAUCAAACCGGGAGAUAGCUGGUUCUCCCCGAAAGCUAUUUAGGUAGCGCCUCGUGAAUUCAUCUUCGGGGGUAGAGCACUGUUUCGGCUAGGGGGUCAUCCCGACUUACCAACCCGAUGCAAACUACGAAUACCGAAGAAUGUUAUCACGGGAGACACACGGCGGGUGCUAACGUUCGUCGUGAAGAGGGAAACAACCCAGACCGCCAGCUAAGGUCCCAAAGUCAUGGUUAAGUGGGAAACGAUGUGGGAAGGCACAGACAGCCAGGAUGUUGGCUUAGAAGCAGCCAUCAUUUAAAGAAAGCGUAAUAGCUCACUGGUCGAGUCGGCCUGCGCGGAAGAUGUAACGGGGCUAAACCAUGCACCGAAGCUGCGGCAGCGACACUUAGGUGUUGUUGGGUAGGGGAGCGUUCUGUAAGCCGUCGAAGGUGACCUGUGAGGGUUGCUGGAGGUAUCAGAAGUGCGAAUGCUGACAUAAGUAACGAUAAUGCGGGUGAAAAACCCGCACGCCGGAAGACCAAGGGUUCCUGUCCAACGUUAAUCGGGGCAGGGUGAGUCGACCCCUAAGGCGAGGCUGAAAAGCGUAGUCGAUGGGAAACAGGUUAAUAUUCCUGUACUCGGUGUUACUGCGAAGGGGGGACGGAGAAAGCUAGGUUAUCCGGGCGACGGUUGUCCCGGUUUAAGCGUGAAGGUGGAUGACUUUGGUAAAUCCGGGUCGUCAUUAACACUGAGGCGUGAUGACGAGUCACUACGGUGAUGAAGUAACCAAUGCUACGCUUCCAGGAAAAGCCUCUAAGCUCCAGGUAACAUCAAAUCGUACCCCAAACCGACACAGGUGGUCAGGUAGAGAAUACUCAGGCGCUUGAGAGAACUCGGGUGAAGGAACUAGGCAAAAUGGUGCCGUAACUUCGGGAGAAGGCACGCUGAUGGUAGGUGAAGUGACUUGCUCACGGAGCUGAAAUCAGUCGAAGAUACCAGCUGGCUGCAACUGUUUAAUAAAAACACAGCACUGUGCAAACACGAAAGUGGACGUAUACGGUGUGACGCCUGCCCGGUGCCGGAAGGUUAAUUGAUGGGGUCAGCCGCAAGGCGAAGCUCUUGAUCGAAGCCCCGGUAAACGGCGGCCGUAACUAUAACGGUCCUAAGGUAGCGAAAUUCCUUGUCGGGUAAGUUCCGACCUGCACGAAUGGCGUAAUGAUGGCCAGGCUGUCUCCACCCGAGACUCAGUGAAAUUGAACUCGCUGUGAAGAUGCAGUGUACCCGCGGCAAGACGGAAAGACCCCGUGAACCUUUACUAUAGCUUGACACUGAACCUUGAGCCUUGAUGUGUAGGAUAGGUGGGAGGCUUUGAAGCGUGGACGCCAGUCUGCGUGGAGCCAACCUUGAAAUACCACCCUUUAAUGUUUGAUGUUCUAACGUGGGCCCGUGAUCCGGGUUGCGGACAGUGUCUGGUGGGUAGUUUGACUGGGGCGGUCUCCUCCCAAAGCGUAACGGAGGAGCACGAAGGUUAGCUAAUCCUGGUCGGACAUCAGGAGGUUAGUGCAAAGGCAUAAGCUAGCUUGACUGCGAGAGUGACAGCUCGAGCAGGUGCGAAAGCAGGUCUUAGUGAUCCGGUGGUUCUGAAUGGAAGGGCCAUCGCUCAACGGAUAAAAGGUACUCCGGGGAUAACAGGCUGAUACCGCCCAAGAGUUCAUAUCGACGGCGGUGUUUGGCACCUCGAUGUCGGCUCAUCACAUCCUGGGGCUGAAGUAGGUCCCAAGGGUAUGGCUGUUCGCCAUUUAAAGUGGUACGCGAGCUGGGUUUAGAACGUCGUGAGACAGUUCGGUCCCUAUCUGCCGUGGGCGUUGGAAGAUUGAGAGGGGUUGCUCCUAGUACGAGAGGACCGGAGUGAACGCACCACUGGUGUUCGGGUUGUGAUGCCAAUUGCAUUGCCCGGUAGCUAAGUGCGGAAGAGAUAACCGCUGAAAGCAUCUAAGCGGGAAACUUGCCUCGAGAUGAGUCUUCCCUGGGCACUAGAUGCCCCUGAAGGGCCGUUGAAGACUACGACGUAGAUAGGCUGGGUGUGUAAGCGUAGCGAUACGUUGAGCUAACCAGUACUAAUGACCCGAGAGGCUUAACCUU